AAUAAUAUGAAACUAAUAAAAAAAAUAGUAGUUUGUUUAUAGUUGUGACUCGUUGUACCAAAAUAUACGUUAAACCACGUAAUUCCUAAUAUUAUAAAGUAAACAAUAAACAAGGGUAUAUAAGACUUUUUGAAUAACGUAUUGUUCGUCAGUAAGGCAACAAACUUUACAGAUGCUAAAUUGCUAAAUUACAUUUUCUUCUUGUUUAGAUACUUGUUCGAUAAGUCAGCAAACACGACUUUUAAAGCGUGCAUUUUGUUAAUUGUUCUCCUGACAGUCUGUGGUCUUCCUAUAGCACUUGCCGCCGGUGGGGCAAAUUGCUGGGCGGCACCAGCCAAUAUUUAUGGACCCACAUGCAGUUCUGACACAUCUAUAUGGGGAAGUCCCGGUCACAAAGUUCAAUAUUCAGUCAGCGUAAGUGGAGACACACUAAUCUGUUGCAAGGCAUUCCACUGUAAAGGUAAUAAUUGCAGACUGUACGAUGUCGGAUGCGGCCACGGGAGUUGGAGUACCACUAGGCUGACCUGGGGCAAUAAUCUUGCUACACCAAAAAUGAAAUGUAAAGGCAUUCCGUUGGGAUCUGGAUACUCAUUUAAUCACUGAUCGCUACAUUUUGCAAACUUACAAUAUUUAUUUCAAUACAUGUAAUUGAAAAAAAACUUGACUAAUUGCUGUUAUGGAUGCGUUUUAAGAAUUUUCAUGAAAAGAAAAUUUCUUAUUCAUUAGAAUUCGUUGUAUGUUUGUCUUUUGAAACAGUUCAAGAUACAUCAUCACGAGUGGGCAUCUGAUUAGAACCACCGACCACCUUAUGUAAACAAACAAGGAUCAAGAAGGAUAAAUAUCCAACAGGGAAUGUCACGUUCCAAAAAAAAAGCGGAAUGGCGUCCUCACAUAAAAGAAACUAAUCAAGCGAGGUUUCGAACAAGGAAAGGACUUUAACGAGACCCAUGUAUACUGAGCUUGCCAAUAAAACAUCUCAAACAAAUCAUACUUUUCAUUUGACUUAACAUCUUUACUACUCAGUAUCAUGAUAAUGCGAAAACAUAUUUUACACCAAUUUUACGUAUACAUCUCACAGUUUACACUUCCAACAAUUAUAAGCCUCGGUGUAUUUGCUUAGAGCCAUAUUUUGGGUCACGUGUUAUUUGAAAAAAGAUUGAUUGCGACAUAUACCAAUUUGUUCAAUUAUGUCUGAAGUUCAUCCUAAGCCUAUCGCCAGUCCGAAUUCUGCGACUGGAUCGAGUUAUGUCGGCCUCAAAAUGGCGGCCAUUUUUAUAUUGAAUCUGUCAUCAUCUUCAAAAUGAUUGAACGGAGUUUUUUGUUUUUGAUGUUAAAAGCGAGGUUAAAAGCGAGGUUUUUAGUAGUUUAUAUCGUACACAUUCAUAAUUAUCUCGCCUUAUGUUAUUUUAAAUAAAAUAACGUAAUUGAUACAAUAUCAAAGAUAUAUUAUGCCCAAAUUUCUUAUUUGAAUAUAUAAACAAUUAUCGCAUAUCACCUAUGGAAUGAUAAAAUAAACAUGUUUGUGUGUAUGAAAGGUAGUGUGUAAGUUUUAAAUACUAUAUACUAAUAAAUGUGUAAUUAAAAACAAUAUAAAUAUGUUACGCCACUAAAAAUCUGGAAGUUUGUUCGGAAAGAAUGCUUGUUACUAAAUAGACAUGUUAUUAUGAUUGCUGCAUACACAGUUAGUUUAUUUAUUUAGCCAAGUUAAAGAUGUUUUAUGCGUAUUUUCUAGAUAUAGAUCAAUAUGAAGUGAUGAAAUAUUUUCGGUUUUGGGUGAGCAAGUAUAUAUUUAAAGGAAAUAAAACAAAUGUUUUGAUGAAGACAUUUCCAUACUGCAUCGUAAUUAAAUGUACGAGGGGUGUUCAAUAAAUACCCGGAAAAGUGCUGUCAUUUCUUUAUUUCUAGUCUCGUUUUGCUAAAAAUUGAAAAUAUGACGGAUAUGAACAUACUGAAUGCAAAUACCUACAUUACAGAUUUCAAAAUAUGCACAAUAUUUAUUUGUCGUCUCCUAGGCAACGCCAUCACCUAAAAAGCGGCCCAACGUCAUUAUGAUGCUGUCAUAUAACACUCAAUUAAUCAAUACUACUCUUGAUUACCAUUGAUUCAAUGUUCAUCACCAUUAAAUGCUUUUACACCUUCUAAGAGUAAAUAAAUACUGUUCAUAUGACGUUCCUGUCGUACUGAAGAAAUUGGACACUGAACUGAUGUCCUAUCAAGGAGCUCUUUAAUUCAUUUAAUGUGACUGAACGUUAUUUUUCAUGUCUGUAACACAAGUCGUCAGCAAUAUUCUUCUGACCACUUUUAAACGUCACGUCCCACUAAUAAAAUUUUGUUUUCUUCAGGGCAUUGUCCCUUAAACCUUUUCCAGCAUAGCAUUUGUCUCUUUCCUUGAUUUUCGAUUCAAAACACAAAAUGUUAUCUCAGAUCUCCGUUCAAAACUGAUUUUCAAGCGACGACCAACUCAAUAUGCCUGCCAAAUAUUUUAAUGAUGUCACAUUUAUAAUUUGGCGUUAUUGGCGUAACGCUUACUUUCCAUAUCAAUAUUCACCCAAUUUAAGAAAAGCUAGCUUGAAAAAUAGGUAAGCGGCAAGUAAUGUUUUAGCGCAUGUAAAAUAGAAAAAAGAGACAAAAUUGGGCCGAAUGACGUGACAUGACGUUGCCAUGGGGACUCGCAUUUACUUAUUAUUUAUCCAAAGACAAUCUAAUUUUGACAUAUCAACUCAGUAUUCCCUAGUCUACAUUUUGUAGCAUUUUCAUUUAUUUUUGAUGAUACAUGAAGAAUUGAGAGCACUUUUCCGGGUAUUUAUUGAACGCCCCUCGUAUAUCAAAUACAAAAUCCCGUUGAUAUCAAUAGUAAUUCCACCUAAUUGAAUAGAUAAAAAUAGAUUAAAAAGCAAACUUAAAACCGAAAUCACCGUCACCUCGCCAUAUUAAUGUACUGUAAUAUAACUCUACAUGUGGACUAUUUCAUGAAUCUUUCUGAAUGAGUGAACUCAUUUCUUUCUAGUGAACACAUGUGUUUCUAUUUAACACAAAUGCACAUAAACAUACAGAUGUUUGAUGGGGAUUUUCUAGAUUUAAAUCAAUAUGUAAUGAUGAAAUAUGUACGUAAAAAUGUGCACAGUAUAUCUUCUAUGAAAUGAGGAAUAAAACAAAUGUUUUGAAGAAGUCUUUUCUAUGUUGCCUCGUAAUUAAAUGUAAAUAAAAUAUAAAAUAUCGUUGAUAUUUAUUGAUACUAAUCUUUUAUAACUGAAAACAAUAUUUUUAGAUUAAAAAUACUUCAAAGCAAAAACAC